AACGAACGCUGGCGGCAUGCCUAACACAUGCAAGUCGAACGAGACCUUCGGGUCUAGUGGCGCACGGGUGCGUAACGCGUGGGAACCUGCCCUUAGGUUCGGAAUAACUCCCCGAAAGGGGUGCUAAUACCGGAUAAUGUCUUCGGACCAAAGAUUUAUCGCCUUUGGAUGGGCCCGCGUUGGAUUAGCUAGUUGGUAGGGUAAAAGCCUACCAAGGCGACGAUCCAUAGCUGGUCUGAGAGGAUGAUCAGCCACACUGGGACUGAGACACGGCCCAGACUCCUACGGGAGGCAGCAGUGGGGAAUAUGGGACAAUGGGCGAAAGCCUGAGCCAGCAAUGCCGCGUGAGUGAUGAAGGCCUUAGGGUUGUAAAGCUCUUUUACCCGGGAUGAUAAUGACAGUACCGGGAGAAUAAGCUCCGGCUAACUCCGG
rnacentral:rRNA from 1 species